CUCCCUCUCUGAAGAGUUUAUAUCCAGAUCAAAUUUUAUGCACUCAGUCAAGAUGAAACCAGGAACAUUGCCAGGCUUUCAUCUGGAUAACUGGACACUGCUUUCUGAUGCUGUAAGAACUAACAUCUGAAAAUUGAAAAAAAAUGUACAUAAAUUGGCUUGUAUGCCUCUGCAGAGACUGUGUCCCUGAAAGUGAUAGUGUUUCACUUUGUUGGUCCUUUCAUCAUGUCACAGCUGAUGAGAGACUUUGUACAGCUGCUUGAAGAAUCCUGGGUUGCAGACAGAAUAAUUUGCAAACUCGGUUCCCUUAAUGUUCAGUGUGCAGCCUUACAGACAUGACGUGUGGGCUGCCAUUGUGUUAACCCAUAGAAUGCUGGAUGCACAAUACUGGGUAAAAGCUGGUUAAUUAUACCCCAAAGAUUUGUUUU